UGGUGGAGUGAUUUGUCUGGUUAAUUCCGUUAACGAACGAGACCUCGACCUGCUAAAUAGUUCGGCUCAGGGCUUCGGCUCUGGGUCUGUGACUUCUUAGAGGGACUACUAGCUGUUAGCUAGGGGAAGUUCGAGGCAAUAACA
rnacentral:rRNA from 1 species